AAACUCCUGCAGGCGAGAGCUGACUGCCGGGCGCAGGUGGGUUGCCUGGCUCCACGCUGCGACCGUCAGGGCGAGUGGCCGAGUUCCGCGGACGGAACCGGGAGGAUGUGAGACCUGUCUUUGAAGUCUGCUCGCGGUGAGCGUUCAAAAUCAGCAGUGUUUGCUCUGGUUGCACUGACCCUUUCCAGUGAGCGACCCCCUGCGCCGCUCGCUUCCUUGGCCAGUAGCUGAGUAAAGGAAAGCCUGGCAGUGUAAAACGGCCCCAGCCAAAACUUACUCCCCGCCACCCCCGGGGCCGUGAGAAACCCGCUGCACAUAAUAACCAGAACUGAAAACUUCCCCAAUGAACAGAGUGCAAAACAGCUGAAGAAGGAUCCUCAUUACUCAAAAGAUACGUUGACACACCUCUGGGCUUUGAGCCUGUGAGAAGGGCCCAGCUCUCUGCCACUUAAAGUAGCAACAUGGUUGAUGACAUUCUUCUUUGGCCCGCUCCCUGUGAGAGAACACAAACCACUCCAAGAUGAGCUGGAAUGCAGCCUUCAUCAUAGGACGAUGAUCUUUUCCAACUGUAUUCAAGUCUGGAGUUCUUCGGGUAAAAAUUAAUCUUCCUGUGGACUCCAGAGGGCCCAUGGGAUUUUCCUUUUGGAUUAGUUGGAUGGUAGCAAGAGGUGUCCUUUGAUCUUUAAGAACAGCUGCAAAAAGGAAAAAAGAAAGAAGAAAAAGUCAAGAUUGGCCACACUUAGGGCUUUGGUGGAAUUACAGGAGAAGAGACCAAGGUGACUUUUCAAUCAGCUCAUCCUUUAAGGGAAGGCUCUGCAAAUGUUCAUCGAGAAAGACCAGUGGAACUGAGAAGACCCUCAAGUAAGCAAUGGGCACAGCAUACCUGCAGUCAGACUGUGCUCUUGGGAUUUCUUCUUACUGGUGCAGAUGUGACUCUCAAGCAGUGGGUGGGAUGCCUAUGCCUACCAGGAUUUCCCAGACAGAGUGUUUAACACCUAGAGAGAGCCUAUUUCUACGCUGGGUGAAAAGGCCCAUUUCAGCUCACAGUCCAAGAUGAGAGUCACUUUUUCUGCUCAAGAGAAUAUAGUUCAAGAUUUCUCUCCUGCUACCACAGCAUGGACAGAAAAUGGAACUGCCCAACCAGAGGGAAAGGAGAUCCUAUCAAAGAAAAAGGAGGCCAGAGCUGGCCUUCAGAUAUACACAAUGGAAUACUACUCAGCCAUAAAAAAGAAUGACAUAAUGCCAUUUGCAGCAACAUGGAUGGAACUAGAGAAUCUCAUCCUGAGUGAAAUGAGCCAGUAAGACAAAGACAAAUACCAUAUGAUAUCACUUAUAACUGGAAUCUAAUAUCCAGCACAAAUGAACAUAUCCCCAGAAUAUUUCUUAUUCUAGUUUCUUCCAACCUACAGGAUGACAGUAUUAUGAUCAGUACAGCUGAAAUACUGAGAGUAAUCUUUCUUUGUUAGGUAUGGUUACAAUUCCAGUAAGUAGGGUGACAUUCAGAAUGUUUGCCAGCUAGUCAGCCUGGGGCCCUGGAUCAGGGAUCUGAAAUUCUUUGGCUGUUGAAUGGGAAGGAGCUGGGGGUGGGUGGUUCCUAAAGACAGAGCUGAAACUUCAGGGAGCAAAGGGUGAUGGGAGGGUAUUUAUUUCAUUGACUUCUCAAAGGGAACACAAGCCUAAGACUGAUUAAGAGGAAGCUGACUACAUCAGAGUUUAAAACUCUGUGCAUCAAAGGACACAAUCAACAGAGUACAAAGCAACUUAUGCAAUGGUAGAAAAUAUUUGCAAAUAAUAUGUUUCAUAAGAGGUUAAUGUCCAGAAUAUAUAAAGAGCUCCUAUAACUCAACAACAACAACUACAACAAAACAAUUAAAAAUGAGCAAAGGGCUUAAGCAGUAAAUUUCUUUGAAGAAGAUAUACAGAUGGCCAAAAACAUGUGAAAAGAGCUCAACACCACUAAUUACCAGGGUAAAGCAAAUCAAAACCAUGAGAUACCAUUUCACCCCCUUUAGGGGGUUACUAUAAAGAGAAAAAAGAAAAAGAAAAAAAAAA
rnacentral:lncRNA from 1 species